rnacentral:misc_RNA from 1 species
GCUAAACUUGGCAGCCGCCACAGGAUGCUUGAAAGUGAUGCGAUGGAGGACGGCGCGGCGGAGGAGGUUGAUAAAGAGGCAACGGUUGUUUUCGUCGAUAGCAAGGAGGAAUACGCCAUCAGGAGAGGCGGCGAUGCGGCGGAGAUUGGUGGAGGACUGUGAUGGCAAUGUAAUAGUUUCGGAUUUGAUGAGGUCAGUGACGGCAACACGGUUACCAAUAGGGGAGAUAAGAAGACUAUUGUUCACUACUAAAGCAUUGCCGCCUCUGUAAGGAGCUCCGAGGAGAUUCUGG